rnacentral:ncRNA from 1 species
CCUUAGUACGAGAGGACCGGGAUGGACGUACCGCUGGUGCACCAGUUGUUCCGCCAGGAGCACGGCUGGGUAGCUAAGUACGGAAGGGAUAAGCGCUGAAAGCAUCUAAGCGUGAAGCCCCCCUCAAGAUGAGAUUUCCCAAUUCGUAAGACCCCUUGAAGACGACGAGGUAGAUAGGUUGGAGGUGGAAGUGCAGCAAUGCAUGGAGCUGACCAAUACUAAUCGGUCGAGGGCUUAUCCUA